rnacentral:rRNA from 1 species
AGCCGCCGCGGGAACACCGGCGGCCCGAGUGGUGAUCGUGAUUAUUGGGUCUAAAGGGUCCGUAGCCGGUUUGGUCAGUCUCCGGGAAAUCUGAUAGCUCAACUAUUAGGGCUUUCGGGGGAUACUGCCAGACUUGGAACCGGGAGAGGUAAGAGGUACUACAGGGGUAGGAGUGAAAUCUUGUAAUCCCUGUGGGACCACCUGUGGCGAAGGCGUCUUACCAGAACGGGUUCGACGGUGAGGGACGAAAGCUGGGGGCACGAACCGGAUUAGAUACCCGGGUAGUCCCAGCCGUAAACGAUGCUCGCUAGGUGUCAGGCAUGGCGCGACCGUGUCUGGUGCCGCAGGGAAGCCGUGAAGCGAGCCACCUGGGAAGUACGGCCGCAAGGCUGAAACUUAAAGGAAUUGGCGGGGGAGCACAACAACGGGUGGAGCCCUGCGGUUUAAUUGGACUCAACGCCGGACAACUCACCGGGGGCGACAGCAAUAUGUAGGCCAAGCUGAAGACUUUGCCUGAAUCGCUGAGAAGAGGUGCAUGG